AAUGCAUGAUGGAGACUUGGCGAUUGCCUAUUCUGGUUUACUUUGGGAUGUUACCUUUAAAACUGCUGUUUGUGUAUGUAUCAUUCUUAUUAUCGGUCAGUGCAUUAUGUUAUGUUGUAUGUGUUCCAUGUUGAAACGUCAGGUUGAAGAUAAUUCUAUGAUCAAUAUUGGACGUUCCCGUUGGAUGUGAUGGUUCUUGAUUACCUCUCUCAAACCCAAGAAAUACUUUUCCAAAAAAAAAAAAAAAAAAAAAAAAAAAAAAAAAUUUCUUAACACCAACUAUGAUAAUUCUGCUCAAGUGAAGUAGAGCUGUAACCAGUGUGCAUGAGGUGUCAUUCCUAUGACGGGUAAGAUUCUCCGAUGGCCAUAGGGGGACAACCUAAGCCAGGAUGGCACCGCCACUGGGCACCUGCCCACCAGGAAAGGGAGGUGUUAUUUAGGAAAAGGGAGUGGACGUGAUGCUACUUAUGGGCCAAGAGCAUCAAAGGGGGGUCUGUAAGAAAUUAUAGUCUGCUCCGAUCCAACUUCCACUCCAAUAUAGAUGUAUUGAAAUGUUCCUUCACUUAAAAGAGCUUAUUUAUCAUAGAAUUAAUUCCUUACAAUCUUAAAAGUAUCAGUCACGUUUAUUACCUAUAGCGUGGGAAUGACAGCGGGUAUUCAAGAACCAUCUUGAUUAGGGAGCUUCAAAGAGAUGUUAUCACCUUAAACAUUUGGCCAUUCUUAUUUGAAAGAAGAUCAAAGAUGGAAGACAGCUGUUACGACAAGAGCAACUUCAUUUACAUUAAGAGGACAGUAACAGGAUAAAAGGUUUAAGAUUUGAAUGUUCUGGGUUCAUUCUGACGCCAGUGAACCCAAGGUGCUUCGUGUCCCUUGCCACUGCUAUGCUGUAAUAAACUUCAUUUUUGAGAUCUUC